AAUAAUUUUGGUAAUGGACAAAAAUGUGAAGAAUUUCAUUAUAAUUUUACAUAAUAAAAAUCUAUAAUAUAAGAGACAAAUGGUUUUGAAUAUUCAAAACCAUCUCCUACUAUUUACGGUUAUAAUCUAUUUAAAUUAAUUCAACGACAAGAUUUUACCUGAAAUUAUUACUUUUUUUCCCUCAAAUGUGUGAGUGGGGCCCACAUAUGUUGUAAUUCAAUGACUACAAAACCUUUAAAGCUGAGCAAAUUUUGUAUUCAUUAAAUCAUUUUUUUAGUGAGACCUGCACCUAAAAAAAUUUAAACAUCAAUUUUUUCUUCUUAUUUCUCCCAUACUAGCAUCAUUUUUUUAAAAUUAUUAUAUUUUUAAUUUGUUUUCUAUUUUGUAGCAGUGUAUCUCCUUAUAUAUGUAUACAAUGUAUUUCUUAUAUCUUAUUUAUUUUUUAAAUUAUAAAACUCUAAUAAAUAUGUUAAAAUAUGAUUUUUUUUGACAUAAUGCCCACAUAAACAAAUACUAAUAAAAAAUAAAGUAUAUUUGAUCCAAAAAUGUUUGCAUAAAUCAUUUCCCUAUAAAAAUCUCUUUACACCUCUCAAACUCUCUUGCCCAAAACCAAACAUCUCUCCCUCUCUCUCUCUCUCUCUUUCUCUCAUCAGCCAUGUAUGGAGCAGGCACCAUGUGGGCUUCCAUGGCGAGCUGGUUCACACCCAUCAUUCUCUUCUGCUUCCUCAACGUCAUGAUCGCCACCAUCCUCCUCACCUCACAGCUCAAAUCUCACAACCAUAAACCCACACACGACCAACAAGACCCGCCCCAACUGGCCCGACCCCCGUCAAUCUUGGACCGGGUCAAGUCCAUCGAUUUCUCCCUCUACAGGUCCGACCAGCCCGAUCCACCACAAUACGAGCACAACCCGCCCCAAUUAGUCCGCGCUCCAUCGAUUCUGGAGCGGGUUAGGUCCACUGCUUUCUCUCUCUACAGAUCCGACCAACCCGACCCUCCACAUACCACGCCACAACUGGUCCGAACCCCAGCGAUGCUGGACUGGGUCAUGUCAAAUGUCUCUACCUACAAAUCCGAACAGUCCGACCCGUUACAAUUCGAACCCCACCGGGUCGACCCGAUUCAGUCCGAGGCUCAGGAUCGUCACGUGACGAGGAGCAUGUCGGAGAUUGCGCCGGAGGGGGAGGCUCUGGUAGCGAGGAUGAGGAAGUCGGCGAGCGAGAAACUGAGGGUGGCGGUGGUCGCGGCGGAGGCGGUGGAUCAGCGUAGGCCGUCGACGACGAGGGAGAGGAACCGAACGGCAUCGUUUGGGAAUGACGAAGGUGUG
rnacentral:lncRNA from 1 species